UCCAGACUCCUACGGGAGGCAGCAGUCGGGAAUAUUGCACAAUGGAGGAAACUCUGAUGCAGUGACGCCGCGUGCAGGAAGAAGGUUUUCGGAUUGUAAACUGCUUUAGAUGGGGAAGAAAAAAGACUGUACCCAUAGAAUAAGCUCCGGCUAACUACGUGCCAGCAGCCGCGGCAAUACGUAGGGGGCAAGCGUUAUCCGGAUUUACUGGGUGUAAAGGGGGCGCAGACGGCAGCGCAAGCCAGGAGUGAAAGCCCGGGGCCCAACCCCGGGACUGCUCUUGGAACUGCGCGGCUGGAGUGCAGGAGGGGCAGGCGGAAUUCCUGGUGUAGCGGUGAAAUGCGUAGAUAUCAGGAGGAACACCGGUGGCGAAGGCGGCCUGCUGGACUGCGACUGACGUUGAGGCCCGAAAGCGUGGGGAGCAAACAGGAUUAGAUACCCCAGUA
rnacentral:rRNA from 1 species